rnacentral:rRNA from 1 species
UACAGAGGGUGCGAGCGUUAAUCGGAAUUACUGGGCGUAAAGGGCGCGUAGGCGGCCUUCUAAGUCAGACGUGAAAUCCCCCGGCUUAACCUGGGAACUGCGUCUGAUACUGGAGGGCUUGAGUGCGGGAGAGGGAUGUGGAAUUCCAGGUGUAGCGGUGAAAUGCGUAGAUAUCUGGAGGAACACCGGUGGCGAAGGCGGCAUCCUGGACCGACACUGACGCUGAGGCGCGAAAGCUAGGGGAGCGAACGGG